rnacentral:rRNA from 1 species
AGAUCUAAUCCAGAGUACCACGAGACACGUGAAACCUUGUGGGAAGCAGGGAGGACCACCUCCCAAGGCUAAAUACUACCUAGUGACCGAUAGUGAAGCAGUACCGUGAGGGAAAGGCGAAAAGAACCCCGGAAGGGGAGUGAAAUAGAACCUGAAACCGUGUGCCUACAACCGAUCGGAGCACGUUAAAGUGUGACGAUGUGCUUUUUGUAGAACGAGCCAGCGAGUUACGCUAUGUAGCAAGG